rnacentral:rRNA from 1 species
UACGUAGGGCGCGAGCGUUAUCCGGAAUUAUUGGGCGUAAAGAGCUCGUAGGCGGUUUGUCGCGUCUGCCGUGAAAAUCCGAGGCUCAACCUCGGACUUGCAGUGGGUACGGGCAGACUAGAGUGUGGUAGGGGAGACUGGAAUUCCUGGUGUAGCGGUGGAAUGCGCAGAUAUCAGGAGGAACACCGAUGGCGAAGGCAGGUCUCUGGGCCAUUACUGACACUGAGAAGCGAAAGCAUGGGGAGCGAACAGG